AAAUCAUAACUAUUCAACUAUCAACAACUUCUAACACAAGCAUGAUAAAUUGCAAAUAGUUGAAGGAACACAAUUAAUACAUUAAUGUCUACAUUUUCACUUUAGAAAUCGAGCAGUAAUGAUAUAUGUAUGAUGGGUUUCAAAGUGAAAUAAUCCUUACCUAUUGGAGAAAGGUCCAAUGGCUCUUCUCAAACUUCCAGAAGCAAGAUAGUGAUCCUCUUAGCUUUGUUGAACCUUAAGGAGAGCGUUUGAGUGCUUGGUUUAU
rnacentral:lncRNA from 1 species